rnacentral:rRNA from 1 species
AUUGAACGCUGGCGGCAGGCCUAACACAUGCAAGUCGAACGAGUGGCGGACGGGUGAGUAAUGUCUGGGAAACUGCCUGACGGAGGGGGAAAACUAUUGGAAAAGGUAGCUAAUACCGCUUACCACCACAUGUGCCCAGAUGGGUGCAGAUUGUCGGUGGGGUAACGGAUCACCAAGGCGACGAUCCCUAUCUGGUCUGAGAGGAUGACCCGCCACACUGAAAUUGAGACACGGUCCAGACUCUUACGGGAGGCAUCAGGAGGGAAUAUUGCACAAUGGGCGCAAGCACGAUGCAGCCAUGCCGCGUGUGUGAAGAAGGCCUUCGGGUUGUAAAAUACUAUCAGCGGGGAGGCGUUACCCGCAGAAGAAGCACCGGCUAACUCCGUGCCAGCGGCCGCGGUAAUUC